rfam:Trichobilharzia regenti genome assembly, scaffold: TRE_scaffold0065261
AUCCAGUUGACGAGUCCCAAAUAGGACGAGAUGCGCAUCCCGGAU